rnacentral:rRNA from 1 species
ACUCAAAUGAAUUGACGGGGACCUGCACAAGCGGUGGAGCAUGUGGUUUAAUUCGACGCAACGCGAAGAACCUUACCUAGGUUAAAUCAAAGUCGCAAGGCACAGAGAUGUGCCCCCCUCGCAAGAGGCGGCUUUGAAGGUGCUGCAUGGCUGUCGUCAGCUCGUGUCGUGAGAUGUUGGGUUAAGUCCCGCAACGAGCGCAACCCUUACCACUAGUUGCCAGCAUUGAGUUGGGGACUCUAGUGGAACUGCCGGUGAUAAACCGGAGGAAGGUGGGGAUGACGUCAAGUCAUCAUGGCCUUUAUGUCUAGGGCUACACACGUGCUACAAUGGACGGUACAGACCGCUGCAAACCCGCGAGGGGGAGCUAAUCGGAAAAAGCCGUUCUCAGUUCGGAUUGGAGUCUGCAACUCGACUCCAUGAAGUUGGAAUCGCUAGUAAUCGCGUAUCAGCACGACGCGGUGAAUACGUUCCCAGGUCUUGUACACACCGCCCGU